UUGUGGCUCGUUUAUUCUAAAAAACUUGAAUUUCAUUAUUGUUUCCCCUACUUUUCAAUAAUUUGCUGUCAGAGGUCUCUUUCUCAUCUUCAUCAGAAGUUGAUAUGAAAAAAUUAGAAUCAAGAAGAAACAUUUCCAGCAGUGAAAAGAGUAUGGCUAUAGAGAUUCCAGUUGCCGCUUUGUAUGAAGGUUCUCCAAGUGACCAACAAUGUGAUCAGUGUUCUUGUAGUCCGCAUUGAAAUUUUUAAUAGUUGGCAUUUUCAGCUUGUUCCAAAGCUGUAUUAGGAGAAAGUUGUAUUGUUUGAGAGACAACAUUUAGUUGUGUUAAUGAUAUUUUAAAAAUUAAAUUA